rnacentral:rRNA from 1 species
UACAGAGGGGGCAAGCGUUGUUCGGAAUUACUGGGCGUAAAGGGCGCGUAGGCGGCCUGCUAAGUCGAACGUGAAAUCCCCGGGCUCAACCCGGGAACUGCGUCCGAUACUGGCAGGCUUGAAUCCGGGAGAGGGAUGUGGAAUUCCAGGUGUAGCGGUGAAAUGCGUAGAUAUCUGGAGGAACACCGGUGGCGAAGGCGGCAUCCUGGACCGGCAUUGACGCUGAGGCGCGAAAGCCAGGGGAGCAAACGGGG